UCAGAUUUCAUGUGAUGUGCACACAGGCAAAUGUGUUCGUUCUUGUUUGGGUUUUUUUUUAUGUGGUUUUAGCUGCGACAGGUCUGGGUUGUCCUGGCCCGCACGCUAUCUACACACGUGUCCCUUCUUCCUUCUUGAAAAAUCUAUGCUCUUCUCGACAGCUCGCUUUUGUCCCCACCGCCCACGUCGUUCCUCCCCUCCUCGGAUCAUUCCGCCGCAAAUACCAGCAAUUCGACUGCGCCGCCUGAUGCUGCUCCCUAUCCGCCCAUAGCCUCGCCAGCCGCCAUAGCACAAUCCAUCGUCGGCGAAGUCAACCACCGCCCGCUCCCGGCUCCCCGGAUCCUCCUACCAUGGAGCGAGCUCGCGAUGUGCCCCCGAUAGACCCAACCACCUAUCCCUUUCUCUUCCCGGCGAGGAUGCGCGGCCGGUGAGCCUGGGAGGCUGGGAUGGAGCACGAAGAGGGAGAUGAUCCAUGAAGUGCAGGCCCAACCCGUACGCCAAGGCGCUCUGCUUCUCCGCGCCCUGCCUCCCGGAACCGCCUCCUCGUGCUCGCCGCGAGCGCGACUGGGCCGGCGCCGCCCCGCGUCGUCCCGUGCCCUACGUAGGGUGAUGUGUCCUCCGGGACUCCGCCUUCGACCCACAGGUCCGCUCCCCGCUGCGGCAGCAGUCAACAGUGCGAGGUCGAAAUCGGUGCCGGCGUCCGCCUCCAUUGAGAAGAGGAUGGCAGGUGGCGCGCCGUGCGGGGUGAAACUUCUGCAUACCCUGAACGUGGGUGGUCGCUGUGCUGUGGCGGCGGGGUGGCGCUGCAGUCACGGGUCUUGACAAGGAGCGGAGUGGGGGCGGCGGCGGUGACGGAUUUGAGGCGACGACGUCCUUCCACGCCAGUGUCCAAGAUCUCCAGGCAAAUGUGAUGGGGCACCUGCGCGACACCGCGUACCAUCACGUCACGGCAUGCUCCAGUCCUCCCAUUGUUGACAUAUAUUGGGUGUUCCUCAAUCCUCAUCUAGGAGAGUGAUCCUAUCUUCUUCAGUGGGGGAUCCCCCAUCACGUGAUUCACGCCGAGUCUUCCGCAUCAGCAAUUGUCCACAUCUUUUUGCGCAAGCAACAGUGGGAAGUAAGUUGAUCAGGCCCGUUGUAGUGGAGUUGGGCAACUGCUCUCUUUGCCUUGCUGCCAUCUUGCUCCACAAAUAAAUUUUUCAUGCUGCUCAUGUGUUCUGGCAAGUUCAGUUGGCCGUUUGAAGCUGGUGGCAAGGAAAUGUGGCUGUACGUACAGCGUAGUUCACCAAAUCCCUCCCGCAGCGUCAUCAGCUGCAGAAAACAGUAUAUCUAGACAGUCGUUUAUCUUUUGCUUUUAAGCAUUAUCUCCUGUUAAACAUGGUCAUCAAUUACUUAGCCUGUAAGGAAUACAGAUAUUUUCUCACUUAUUUUUAUCAAAGAGGUCAUAUAGUUGCAUGGUUUGAUUAACUUCACAAGGGACUAUUGUUUCAACAACCAGUAAGUGACACAAGAUAUUUUCUCUCUUUUCGACCGGAAUAAAGUCAUGGAUGGUUAUUUUGUGUUUGCUUCAAAUCCCUGAAUUUUUUAUUCUUUUGCGACCAUGAACUAUUGAUUUGCAUGAGUAGAAAUUUAGCCAGGUGUACUGUAAGUGCAUUCUUUGUUUGUGGACAAUACUGCUAUUUGAUUUUUAGUUAAAGGAUAGGUAUUCCAACUCCCCUUCUUAUUUUGAAUUUUUAGAAAUGCAUUCUUUUACUCCACGGUCCACGCUCAUACUGAUAUGCUCCUCACUACCUGAUGUGCUCAUAGGCAAGAAAUGUGUAGUUAGUUGACAGGUUCAUCUGAGAACCUGCCACUCCCAUUUGGUAUAUCUUUGGCAAGCAACCAUCGUUGGAAAUAUUUUACAUCAUACGAAGUGCAAAUGAAGUAGACAAGCAGAACUUGUGGUUUAAUUUAUAUACAUCUGCUCAAAAGCAAAGUGAAGUACAGCAGUUGGUGAUGAGUGCAGCACCGGUUGUUUUCUUCACAGAGAAAUUGAGCUGGACAGGUCUUUAAAGAGAGGUACACAAAUCCUUUCCCUAACACAUUCUGUACUUUACCCUCUUUUACAUAUAGAUUUAUUUUGAGUGUGCAUAUAGUUCCUUCCACUGUUUGCGUUCACAAAUGGGUUUAGGCAGUUAUGUAUAUUCUAGCUUACACUAACUGUUGUAGCUUAUGUUAUCUGCAAGAACUUCUACUCCAUCCAUAUGUCUUGGUAGUGCCAACAGAAACAUCAGUCUUACCCCAUGUUAUCAACAUACGAAUGCCAUUAUUCGUAGAUAGCGAGAUAUAUAGGAAAUAUGGGAAAUUAAGUUAUUCUCUAGAUUUUUCCUUAAGCCACUGGGAUUUCGAUCAUGUCUUUGUUACAAGGAAUCCCCACAACAAUAGCUAUAUGCUCAUAUUUCAUAUUUGCAUAGCCACCAACGUUUGCGCAUCUUCUCCUCGAACUCCGGCGAAUUGCUUGGCUGCAUGCCCGUCAAACACGACUACCAGCUGCGCAUCUAUUCGCUCCUCGCAGGGUGUCAUGGGCCAACCCCUUUCUUUCCACAUAUGACUAAUAACGCAAUUCUUAGGCUCAGGAAAAAAAUUAGUGUCCAUGAUUAUUUCAUCAAACAGUAUCAACUUAUAAUCUCACAUGUUUUAUUGAGCAAAUGUUGCCACUGGGAGUUAUGCUUUACAUAACAACACCUGGUACUACAAGAUCUACAAGCUGUAUUGCAGAGUGUUGCUUCUUCUACACUAAUUACUAAAUUUGGUUAAUAUAGUACAUGCCAGUAAUAUAAGUAAGACACAUGUGUAUAUCUAUAGUUUUUUUUAUGUACUCCAAAAAAAAUUCAAUAUAAAAUCUGAAGAUGCUUUGGUGAAUCUUUAGUAAAAAGAUACGCAAUAGUUAGGUGUAGAAUGGUCAUUCCAACACAUUUCCUUGAAUUGCCUCUGCAAUUAAGCCAUUUAUGUUCAAACAACGGUUUCACAAUUGCUUAAAUAUGGGAACAUGUGUACAUCCUAUUUUAGUGAUCUCUUUUCAUUUGCAAAUAUUAUAGAACAUAAAUGUAUGAGAUAUAGGCACUCACAAAAAGGAGAUUAAUUGGUAUGACUUGGUGAUUCAUACACAUCUUCUGGACUAAGUUAGUUUCUAGGAUGCUGCAACCAGUUGACAAAUUUUGAGGUACAUGUUCUGAGAUCUAGGACUUGCUACAUUCUGGCCUUUUAACAUCACAUCUACAUUUCAGUUGACAGAACAUGCACAUUAUACAUCUUAAUAAGUGAUGAUACACAUAAGGGAUGUGGAUGAGCUCCUCAAGAAUUAAUUUGAGAUUGAGCAGACCUCAAGAUUGGUCGGUUUUCCUCUGUUCUACCAGUGUCUCGGUAUUUUCAGUUAGUCAUAGUGUGAGAAUUUUUGGAUGCCGGUUAUGAGAACAAAGACUUAACCAAAGUAAUUCGAAAAAAAAAAGACUUAACCAAAGUACUAGAAACAGAAAGAGAGGUUGGGAUUAUGCAAAAAUAUAGUAUUGGGUAACUUUAUAUAAGCCCACAGAAAAUAUUAUGUUUUUUAAGGAAGUCAGGUAAUAAGCAAAAAAGUUCAAAAUUGCUUGAGUGAUAAUACGUCCUCUGCUGUGAUAAUACUCUCUCUGCAAUAUUACAGACUGAGAUUGCUCCUUUAACAUAAGAGUGGAAUUGCUCUUGAAUGCUGACCAAUAUUUUAGUAUGUAAUCCACUCGCAUUGUGGUUGCCUAGGUGAGUGCUCUCUUUCCUUUCACCUCUUUCACUAUGCACAGGACCUUCAGUUUUAGUCUUUUAGAUGUAUGUACUCAAUUUUCUGUCAUAUGAGUAAAUCAUAGGGAAAUCUGGGACGUCUCCUUAGCUUGAGAUAAACCAUGAUGUAUUAAUGAAAACUUCAGUUAUAAGUAUAAAGAUACCAUUUUUUUUUGUUUAGACUGAUGUUAUUUUCAACCGCAGGUGGGAGAACAAUUUUGAAUAAAAAAAUUGAGAAAUGUAUACAAUACCGAUUUUUGUUGUUGUUUAAACUGAUGUUAUCUUCAGCUGCAGAUCGUACCAAUUUUGAAUAAAUUGGACAACGUAUACCAACAGACAGAAACAUGAUCACUGCAUAUCAAUUUUUUUCUUAACAUGUUUGAAUUCAUCGGCAGAUGAUAAUUCCCCAAGAGGCUUCCUACUACAGUGAGUAGAGUUCCCCACAACCAGCGGAGGACCCGGUGGUGCCCACCGCCAUGGACCACCCCGCGUUGGUGAAGGCCAAGGCGGAGAAGGAGUAUCCGGAUAUAGAGAUGAAGGAGGAGGAGGCCAAGGGGACAGGCAACACAAGCACGAGGUGCACGACGGCGACGGAGUCCAUCCUGAUGGCCGCUGACGCCACGAGUACCGUGGGGUCUGCGGCGGGCGUACCACUUGACCCGUAUGAGGAGCUGCCUCCCUCCCCGCAGUGUGUCUUAUGUUCGUGGGGUACUGCCAUUUCCCUCCCUGUAUGGUGCCCAACCUCGUGAUUGGCAGACGAUGGCACCGGCGAUCUCAACAUCACCAGUUCUGCAUUAGGACCCAUUCACAACAAAUGAGUGACAUGGUAACAUCACCAGUUCUGGUUCGUCUUCCUCUGACUCACCACUCAAAUUUGAACUAAUUCUGGUUCUAUUCUACUGUGACAUGUUUUUCUGAAUGUCUGGUAUUUUUAUGUAGCAUUAGGACCCAGUCACAACAAGUAAGUGUUUCUAAGUUGUUGUAAUUGCAUCUGAGAUGAUCCUUGGACAUGAUUCCCCUGCAAAAAAGAACUAAUAUUUAGUGAUCCUUGGACAUGAUUCUACGUUGUUGCAAUCACAUGGUUGCACAUGUUUUGCCAUUUUUUUUUUCAUUUUUUAUAUUCUUGGACAGCUGGUAUCUUUUAGGACAUGCAACGAGGCGAGCCUUUGAAACUUAUGGUGGAUGCUUAUCAAGUGAUACCUGACCAUUGGUUGUAUGUACCUAGCAUUCAAAGGGUUGUGUAAAAGAACUUAACCCCAUUGGUGAUGUGGGUGUCCGAAAACAUCAGCUGACACAAGGUGAUCUUCUACAAAUUCUAUCACUUGGUACUGCUAGGUGUAACCCGUGAAUUCUGAUUUGGUUUAAUCAAAUUGCUGUGUUCAUCAUUGAUAUUUUCAAAAUGUUGUUGUUUACAACUUUUGUUGACCUUAUAUUGGAUGCACUCUUCAUACGGUUGUUGACUGCGGGCUUCUAAUUACCUCUGUAUGAGCUUAUUUGUGUUGGAAAAAGAUAUCUCUUUCAAAUGAUUGACUUCAGAUUCUCAUGUACAUUUAUUCCGGUAUACAAGAUUGGAACCUUUUGAGGAUGAGCUCCAUUUUAAAUAAUUCAUGUUUUUACAGAUUCAUAUAUGAGAUAUUGCUUCCAUCGUUGUGCCAUCUUAUUGGUAUUACCAUCUUUUAUCCGAUCUUCAAUUGUGCCUCAAUGUUCUACGUAAUGGAAAAUCAAUAUCAGCAAGAGCACACGCCUGAGCAUAGUGAUCUGCCAUGAUUAAGUUUAGUUUGCUGCAUGUCUUCAUUAGUCCAUCGUCGGUUAUGUAGUCAUAGGUGUCUUCUGCUUACAUCUUCUAUUUUCCAAUCGACUACUUUAAGGGUAUUCCGAUACGGAGGAGCCAUUCGUGCCUACCAAUGGCAUAUUAUAUGAUGAGAUAUAGAAGAAACACACCAGUGAGUGCGAACCAGAUCCUCUAACUUAAAGGAGCAAAGUAUCCUAACUUUCCUUCCUCAUAUCCAUAUAAUUAGGAAUAAUUUGAUCUAAAUUAACAUGCAUAACAUAAAUAUGUGGUAUCUAUUUAAAAUAAUUACUUCCAAACAAAAUUAUGAUGUGCUAAUUUUUUUGUUUAGAAGAUUUACAUCAAGAGUAACUACACACAGUAAUUACUACAGUAUUGGACAUACAGUAUUUGCUACCGUGUCCUGACUUUGGUUCUUCAAUUUGCAUUAGCUCAACACUGUAGUUUCCUGACUUUGCUCUUUCACGUUAGAGGAUUAGAAUAAAAACUUCUCUGCAUAACUAAUGAACUCCAUCAUCUUUUUAGUUUUUACCAUCUCCAUCGUUAGUAUGAUUUGCAUUUCAUGUGUGUUGACUGUUGUGUCCACAUCUUUCAAGUGCAUUUCAGACCUGGAUCAGAAGAGACUCGCAUGCAAGCAAAUAAAUCUACUGGCCUAAUUGUUAGCAUUUAGUCGUGAGAUAAAAACACAAUGACACAAGCAGCUAAGUUCAAAAAAAAAAAAACGAAGCACAC